UGGCGAGCGGGUGAUUAACACGUGGGCCAUCUGCCCUUCACUCUGGGACAAGCCCUGGAAACGGGGUCUAAUACCGGAUACGAGCCUGAGAGGCAUCUCUCGGGUUGGAACACCUCCUUGAGAGGAUGAACCCGCGGGCUAUCAACUUGGUGGUGAGGUAAUGGGUCAGAGAGGCUACGACGGGUAGUCGGGCUGAAAAGGCGACCGGCCACCCUGGGACUGAGACACGGGCCGAACUCCUACCGGAGGCAGAAAUGCUGAAUAUUGCACAAUGGGCGAAAGACUGAUGUCUCGACACCGCGUGAGGGAUGACCGGCUUACGAUUGUGAACCUCCCUCAACAAGAAACAAACGAGAGUGACGGGACCUGCACAAUAAGCGCCGGCUAACUACAUGCCUUGCUCCGCGUUACUACGUAGGGCGCAAGCGUUGUCCGGAAUUAUUGGGCGUA
rnacentral:rRNA from 1 species